AGAGUUGUAGUCAAUUAUGAUUUAUGAUUUGCACUCAUAAGGUAUCAGUAGAUCGACUUUA
rnacentral:tRNA from 1 species